rnacentral:rRNA from 1 species
UACGGGGGGGGCAAGCGUUGUUCGGAAUUACUGGGCGUAAAGGGUUCGUAGGUGGCUUGCUAAGUCAGACGUGAAAUCCCUCAGCUUAACUGGGGAACUGCGUCUGAGACUGGUGAGCUUGAGUGCAGGAGAGGAACGCGGAAUUCCAGGUGUAGCGGUGAAAUGCGUAGAUAUUGGGAGGAACACCAGUGGCGAAGGCGGCUACCUGGACCGGAACUGACGCUGAUGCGCGAAAGCGUGGGGAGCAAACAGG